rnacentral:rRNA from 1 species
AGUGAACGCUGGCGGUAGGCCUAACACAUGCAAGUCGAACGGCAGCACAGUAAGAGCUUGCUCUUACGGGUGGCGAGUGGCGGACGGGUGAGGAAUACAUCGGAAUCUACUUUUUCGUGGGGGAUAACGUAGGGAAACUUACGCUAAUACCGCAUACGACCUACGGGUGAAAGCAGGGGAUCUUCGGACCUUGCGCGAUUGAAUGAGCCGAUGUCGGAUUAGCUAGUUGGCGGGGUAAAGGCCCACCAAGGCGACGAUCCGUAGCUGGUCUGAGAGGAUGGAUCACCAGCCUGGCACUGAGGAAGGGCACCGACUCCUAGAGGGAGCCACGGUGGGGAAUAUUGGACAAUGGGCGCAAGCCUGAUCCAGCCAUACCGCGUGGGUGAAGAAGGCCUUCGGGUUGUAAAGCCCUUUUGUUGGGAAAGAAAAGCAGCAGGUUAAUACCCCGCUGUUCUGACGGUACCCAAAGAAUAAGCACCGGCUAACUUCGUG